rnacentral:rRNA from 1 species
CCUGCCGGCGACCGGCGCACGGGUGAGUAACACGUAUGCGACCUGCCCCCGCAGGGGGAUAACCGGGAGAAAUCCCGACUAAUACCGCGUAACGCCGCGGACCUGCAUGGGUCUGCGGCCAAAGGAAGCGAUUCCGGCGGGGAUGGGCAUGCGGCGCAUUAGCUAGUCGGCGGGGUAACGGCCCACCGAGGCGACGAUGCGUAGGGGUUCUGAGAGGAAGGUCCCCCACACUGGUACUGAGACACGGACCAGACUCCUACGGGAGGCAGCAG